UACGUAGGGGGCAAGCGUUGUCCGGAAUCAUUGGGCGUAAAGAGCGUGUAGGCGGCUCGGUAAGUCCGCUCUGAAAGCCCCGGGGCUCAACCCCGGGAGGCGGGCGGAUACUGUCGAGCUAGAGUCCGGAAGAGGCGAGUGGAAUUCCUGGUGUAGCGGUGAAAUGCGCAGAUAUCAGGAGGAACACCAAUGGCGAAGGCAGCUCGCUGGGACGGUACUGACGCUGAGACGCGAAAGCGUGGGGAGCAAACAGG
rnacentral:rRNA from 1 species